AAGUCGUAACAAGGUUUCCGUAGGUGAACCUGCGGAAGGAUCAUUAACAGGAUAGCCCUACACCAUUGGACUGUGUGUUUGAGCUAUAACCAUCCUUGUGUUGUGUUGAUGUUGUGCAUGCUCACUUUCCCUUAGGGGGGAGAGAGGGCAUUUGCAUAUAUUUUAUAUUACUCAUUUUCUUGUAUUAUCUUAUUAAAACUGCUCGAAAGAGCAUAAAAACAAUCGAAAACUGCCAGCAAUGGAUCACUCGGUUCUC
rnacentral:misc_RNA from 1 species